rnacentral:rRNA from 1 species
AUUGAACGCUGGCGGCAGGCCUAACACAUGCAAGUCGAGCGAGCGGCGGACGGGUGAGUAAUGUAUGGGAAACUGCCCGAUAGAGGGGGAUAACUACUGGAAACGGUGGCUAAUACCGCAUACCAUCGGAUGAACCCAGAUGGGAUUAGCUUGUAGGUGGGGUAACGGCUCACCUAGGCGACGAUCCCUAGCUGGUCUGAGAGGAUGACCAGCCACACUGGAACUGAGACACGGCCCAGACUCCUACGGGAGGCAGCAGUGGGGAAUAUUGCACAAUGGGCGCAAGCCUGAUACAGCCAUGCCGCGUGUAUGAAGAAGGCCUUAGGGUUGUAAAGUACUUUCAGCGGGGAGGCGUUACCCGCAGAAGAAGCACCGGCUAACUCCGUGCCAGCAGCCGCGGUAAUUC